rnacentral:ncRNA from 1 species
AGCGGGGGUACCGGCAUAGCCCGGUUGAGAUCAUACCCAUUGAACCUGAUGCGGGUAAUGCCGCCGAAGGGAAGCAUA